rnacentral:rRNA from 1 species
AGUGAACGCUGGCGGUAGGCCUAACACAUGCAAGUCGAACGGCAGCACAGUAAGAGCUUGCUCUUACGGGUGGCGAGUGGCGGACGGGUGAGGAAUACAUCGGAAUCUACUUUUUCGUGGGGGAUAACGUAGGGAAACUUACGCUAAUACCGCAUACGACCUACGGGUGAAAGCAGGGGAUCUUCGGACCUUGCGCGAUUGAAUGAGCCGAUGUCGGAUUAGCUAGUUGGCGGGGUAAAGGCCCACCAAGGCGACGAUCCGUAGCUGGUCUGAGAGGAAGAUCAGCCACACUGGAACUGAGACACGGUCCAGACCCCUACGGGAGGCAGCAGUGGGGAAUAUUGGACAAUGGGCGCAAGCCUGAUCCAGCCAUACCGCGUGGGUGAAGAAGGCCUUCGGGUUGUAAAGCCCUUUUGUUGGGAAAGAAAAGCAGCAGGUUAAUACCCCGCUGUUCUGACGGUACCCAAAGAAUAAGCACCGGCUAACUUCGUG